UCGAGCUCUGGAGCUUGUGUCCCUCUCAGGGCGUCCUUCUCCCUCGGGGCAGCUUUGGGAGGGAGCGAGGAUGAGGAAGGUCGCCCACUGUGGGCGCACGCAAUGGCUGCUCACGUCUCCUCAGCAAAGCUGCCGAGCCGGGCAGGAUCCCGCCUCCCUCAGUGCGGGGCAGGCCGGGCCGGGCGCUGUGGUGAAAGGGCGCGUUGAGGCCUUCAGGGGCUGGUGGCGAGGGAGGCUAAAAUGUGUGUUUUAAUUAAAAAAAAAUAAUCAGUGCGGGUCCCCAGGGGCGUAGAAAGGAGUCUCAAUCAGUGUCGGCGCUAGGAAGUGACGGGAUGGGAUCGCUGGCUCCGCCUGCCGUCGGGAAAACAUUAACUUUGAGUUCGGCUGUCUGUUUAGGUAAAAAAGGUUAGAGAGUAGUUUUCAGAGAACAGCCUGCGGCUAAACGGGUGCACAAGACAAUGCAAAUCCCAAUUUUUACGGUUGAUGCAUUUACAAAGCGGCCAUUUUCUGGAAAUCCCGCGGCAGUUUGUCUGCUUGAAAAUGACUUGAAUGAAGAUCUGCACCAAAAAAUUGCAACAGAAAUGAACCUUUCAGAAACAGCUUUCAUCAGAAAACUCAAACCUGGAGAUGACUUUACCAGAAGUUCCUGCUUUGGGCUCAGGUGGUUCACCCCAGCCAAUGAAGUUCCUCUCUGUGGUCAUGCUACUCUCGCAUCAGCUGCUGUGUUAUUUCAUGUACAAAAAAAUACAAAUUCAGUUCUCACAUUUGUGACGCUGAGUGGGGAAUUAAAAGCCAGACAAGUGAAAGAUCAUAUUGUCCUGGACUUGCCACUUUACACAGCCUACCCCCAGGAACUUAAGGAAGUAGAAGAAUUAAUAAAGGCAGCUGUUGGUGACAUGAUUGUUCAAGAUGUCCGUUACUCUCCUGACACAAAGAAGCUCUUAGUCCGCCUCAGUGAUACUUAUGAAAGGUCUGUGUUGGAAGACUUGAAAGUGAGUGCACAACGAUUUUUGUCAGCUGAAAAGACAGGAAAAGUGAAAGGACUCAUUCUCACUGUUAAGGGGAAUUCCUGUGGAACAGGCCAUGAUUUUUACUCCAGAUAUUUUGCACCUUGGUAUGGAGUUCUGGAAGACCCCGUUACAGGAUCUGCUCACGCUGUUUUAAGCAGCUACUGGUCAGAGCAGCUGGGGAAGAAAGAAAUGCUUGAUAUUGCUGAUCAAGUUAAUUCCCAGGUGAUAGAUGAACAGAGAGUCAGUAUUUCACCCAGACUCGGUGGAACAAAGCUCCCCCACAGCUGUAGUGCUGCAGCAGCCAAGCUUCCUUGCACAGUUCUGCUGGAGCAGUGACCAGUGAACAUUGUGCCAGAUUGUCUUCAGUGUUUUUCCAUUUCUUUACAAAACUGUGUUUCCUGUUAGUAGCAGACUGUGUGAUCAUAAAGGAUGGUUCUGGAUGCACAGCCAAGGGUUGAAGAGAUCAGUGCCCUGUGCCUGAGUGCACAGAGAGCUGCAGCAGUGCUGGUGUGGAUGCAGCAAACAGGUAUUCCAGGGCAGGAUGGGGGCCAGGUGACCGUGCAACAGGCAGAUUCAUUUUGAGACACGAUGGAGUUCAGCUAUGGCAGACUGUAGGGAAGAGGUACAACGUGGGCAACAUCUGCUUUCCCAUGGAAAUACCUGCAGCUUUUUUAACUCUUAGGAUGUUUGUGUUUUAGCUUUCUGGUAUGUACAGUCUGGGUUGGGUUGGCUGAGAUUUCUAACAAAAAUAUGCGAGUUAUAAUCAUGGUUUUGUUUAUUGUGUUCACUCAGGUGGGAAGUAAAACAGCACAAGAAAUUCACUUCCUCUAAAUCCUGAGGGAAUCAAGAGUUAGGAACAACAGAAGCUGUAUUUGUGGGAAGCUCAGUGAAAAGGAUUCUCUUCUCAGUCUCUGGCUAUAUCCAAUAUUCUUUUGCUUUUAACAUAACUCUUCAUUGUUUUCUUUGCAUAUGGAAGUUUUUUAAGUUAAAAUUUUAAAUUUGAAGUAACCCAAGACACAGUCUAAAAUGAAGGUAUCUGUUAAAUUUUUGUUUCAUCUCUGUGGCUUUGAUCAUGACUGUUGCAUUCUGCAGCCACGUUAAAAGCAGUAAGAAAGUGUUUGAAAACAAUGUCUAGAGGAGAGGUUUAGCAGUAAUUCAAAGAUGCAGGAAAACAUCUUAAACAUUCACAGAUUCUAACAACAGGAGGUAUUAAUGUAACUAUAUAGAUGCCAAAUAUAUUUAAAGCAAUCAUUAAGUGUUGUCACUUAACACCUUCUCUUGAGCUUUCAUUUAUUUGCCUUAUUUAUUAUAACUGUUGGGGUUUUUUAGCGUUUUGCAUAUAACAGUUGCUUAAUGUCAUAACUUCUGUAUAUUAACAGAAUUUUCUGUCUUCCUAUUAGACACCACACUUGUGAUUGCUUCCUAAAUGGUGGUGAAAAUUUACCAGGUCAUAGUUCCUUUUCAUUUAACUAUAAAAUGAGCUGGAUGGUAGAUGCACAUUAAAAAGAAGGAAAAAGAGACUGAUAUUUAAAAGCCAUGAAGUGACAAAGUUUGGUAUCAUCCAAAAUCAAAGGAUCACUAACAUGGUAAAGGAAGAAGUAUGAAGCACAUCUGGAAAAUAGUUUCAGCUAGGGGCUCAAGAGAGCAUGCUUCAGACAAGAGGAAUUCCCAUUUGCUAUGUGCCUUAUGCACACACCCUGCACCUUAUUUUAUGAACCCUUACACCAAGAGUACACGCACACACAGAUAUAAAUAUUUAGGGCAUACACCUGUACCUACAUGAAAUGCUAUAUUUAUCUAGUCUGAAGUUCAAAAAUUCUAGAAUAGGCUGGCAUAAUAAUCAUAUAUAAAAAUGAGUUACAUCUUUUCCAUUUAACCUGUGCUUUGUGAUUAUUUGGCAUGUUUUUAAAAUUACAUUCAAAGUCUUGUUGUUUACCCCUCAUUCAGGACUGGUGUUACUGUAAUGUCAGUGUUUUCACUGGCAGUAAUCCAGCUAAUCAUCAUCAAUCCUUACCAUGGCACCUACAGUGCAGUAGCUCUAAUUCAAGAAGUAAAAGUGGUAUUGGCUUUUAGGUGCUGAAAACUAUGUUCACUAUGUAAUUCUUAGCAAACUACACAGUACUGAAUUUAUUGCACAACACUCCAUACCACAAUUAUCCUGCAUUAAAAUUAUAUGCAAAAGUCUGGUACCAUAUAUUACUUGCAGCAUUUGCAGCAGCAGAACACUUAAUUAUAAACAAGUUGCUUGUAAACCUUGA